rnacentral:rRNA from 1 species
CGGAGGAUCCAAGCGUUAUCCGGAAUCAUUGGGUUUAAAGGGUCCGUAGGCGGGUUUAUAAGUCAGUAGGUGAAAGCCCAUCGCUCAACGAUGGAACGGCCAUUGAUACUGUAGAUCUUGAAUUAUUAGGAAGUAACUAGAAUAUGUAGUGUAGCGGUGAAAUGCUUAGAGAUUACAUGGAAUACCAAUUGCGAAGGCAGGUUACUACUAAUGGAUUGACGCUGAUGGACGAAGGCGUGGGUAGCGAACAGGAUUAGAUACCCUGGUAGUCCACGCCGUAAACGAUGGGUACUAGCUGUUCGGAGCAAUCUGAGUGGCUAAGCGAAAGUGAUAAGUAUCCCACCUGGGGAGUACGUUCGCAAGAAUG